AUACGUAGGGUGCGAGCGUUGUCCGGAAUUACUGGGCGUAAAGAGCUCGUAGGUGGUUUGUCGCGUCGUCUGUGAAAUUCCGGGGCUUAACUCCGGGCGUGCAGGCGAUACGGGCAUAACUUGAGUACUGUAGGGGAGACUGGAAUUCCUGGUGUAGCGGUGAAAUGCGCAGAUAUCAGGAGGAACACCGGUGGCGAAGGCUGGUCUCUGGGCAGUAACUGACGCUGAGGAGCGAAAGCAUGGGUAGCGAACAGGAUUAGAUACCCUGGUAGUCCAUGCCGUAAACGGUGGGCGCUAGGUGUAGGGGUCUUCCACGACUUCUGUGCCGUAGCUAACGCAUUAAGCGCCCCGCCUGGGGAGUACGGCCGCAAGGCUAAAACUCAAAUGAAUUGACGGGG
rnacentral:rRNA from 1 species